CCUUUUCGUUCUCCCAUGUUUUCUGGGGUAAACUAGGCUAUUGAGCGAAGACGUUUCACAGACGAAAAGAUUAUGUUGGGCUGACAUCAAUGGCAUAUGACUAAUAUUACUUGGGAUUAUAUACAACAAAAAGACAGAACUGUUGCCUAAAUGUUAAAAAAGUGUGAAGAGGAAAAUAAUGCCCAACAAAGUGCAGUUUAAUCUUCAGAAGAACAAGAAAAUGGAGAAGAAACAAAUAAGUCCAAAUUCUAAAGGGUUAAGAGACACAAACACAGUGAAAGCUGUUAGAUGCAACAGCAUGGAGCAUCUGAAACCAGAUUUCUUUUGUGAUCAAGUCGAGUCUCAUUCUGAUGAAUCAGAGAAGGUCGAGGAUGAGAAAACACCAGGACCUUAAACUCCAGUACAUGACAGGGGUUCAUUUACCAUCCUGGACAACACUCUUGAGUUUGCUUUUACACAUUUAGCGUGUCCUCCAUGGCUGCACAUUUGGAGCUGCACUUGUGUUCCUGUAACAAACAUACUGUACAUUUGUAUUCAUCCUCCUCAAAUGUGUUAUUUACUGCUUUUGUAGUUUUCUGUUGACUGUGUAUUAUUGAGUUGAAUGAGUCUGCUAUUGGUCUGUCAUUUGUCUGUUGUGUUGUCGCGUCUGACCGUUAGGUAUGACCUGCUGUUCUCAGUUUAAAUUUUCUCACAGUAUUUAUUGCACUUUAAACAGUUUUCAUUUGUUAAAAGGAAGGGAAAUGUCUCUUGUGAGGCCUCACAUUAUGUGACACCAAAUCUGUUUUUGUUUGUUUGUUUGUUUGUUUGUUUGUUUGUUUGUGAGUCACUUAUUAUUGAGUUUCUUAUUUUUGGGGUUGAUCACUGGCAUGAUAUCUGGCAACCCUCAUACCUUCAUUGGAGAGAACACGUUUGUGUGAGGGAAGAGUUCAGAAGAGAGCAGAACAUGCAUGAAGCUUCUGUUAAUGAUGAUUCAUUAAGUUAUUAAAGUGUUUUAAAUCACACAUUCAUUGUAACUGCAUUAUUUUUAGGCCCUGGGUCGGAACCGUUGUCUUCAGAUCUUUCAGUGUCAAACAUGAAAUGAUUGUGAAAGAUGGCAAUAAA